ACUAGGAUUUAUCCUGGGGUCACAAUGGGCUUGAUUUGCAAACUUUAUUUAGCGAGGAACAAUUGGAGGGCAAGUCUGGUGCCAGCAGCCGCGGUAAUUCCAGCUCCAAUAGUGUAUAUUAAUGUUCCUGCAGUUAUUCGAUGCUCGUAGUUGGAUUUCUGGGGGCUGAGAUUGGAAGGUGGCCAAGGUCACCGCCGAACUCUUCCUUCAUCCACCUGUUAACGUUGUCCGGGAUUUGUUUCUCGGCUUCAGGCUCAGGUAUUUUACCCUUUCUAUAUAUUCAUUUAUUUAUCUUCUUUUUGAGUAAAUUAUAGUGUUUCAGGCAGGCGUGCGCCGGAAUACUUUAGCAUGGAAUAAUCGAAUUGGACCGUGUAUUCUUAUAGAAUUCUUCCUUAUUUGUUGGUUUCAAGGACACGGAAAUGGUUAAUAGGGAUAGUGUUUUCAGGGGAGGCAUUAGUAUUUAAUUUCCAGAGGUGAAAUUCUUUGAAAUAUUAAAGACUAACUUAUGCGAAAGCAUUUAUUUUGCCAAUAAUGUUUUCAUUAAUCAUUGAACGAAAGUUAGGGGAUCAAAGACGAUCAGAUACCGUCCUAGUCUUAACCAUAAACGUUGCCGACUAGGGAUCGGAGGGCGUGCACAUUCCGCCUUCGGCACCUUACGAGAAAUCAAAGUCUUUUGGGUUCUGGGGGUAGUAUGGUCGCAAGGCUGAAACUUAAAGGAAUUGACGGAAGGGCACCACCAGGAGUGGAGCUUGCGGCUCAAUUUGACUCAACACGGGAAAUCUUACCAGGUCCAGACAUAGCGAGGAUUGACAGAUUGAUAGCUCUUUCUUGAUUCUAUGGGUAUUUAUUUUAAUUUUGGUGGUGCAUGGCCGUUCUUAGUUGGUGAAGUGAUUUGUCUGGUUAAUUCCGUUAAACGAACGAGACCUCAGCCUGCUAAAUAGUUACCCGUCUUUCUUUUACGAGACUUGAUAACUUCUUAGAGGGACGUUGUGUGCAACCACAAGGAAGUUGAGGCAAUAACAGGUCUGUGAUGCCCUUAGAUGUCCUGGGCCGCACGCGUGCUACACUGAUACGUACAACAAGGUAUAUGCAUUUAUGCAUCGAUGCUGCUCCGAAAUAGACACAGCUAAAUCUUCUAAAAUACGUAUCGUGCUGCGGAUAGAUCGUUGAAAUUAUGGAUCUUGAAGGUGGAAUUCCUAGUAAGCGCGGGUCAUCAACCCGCGUUGAUUACGUCCCUGCCCUUUGUACACACCGCCCGUCGCUCCUACCAAUUUCGAGUGGCUCGGUGAACCUCUUUGGACUGUCGAGCAAUCGCGAAAUUAGAGUGAACCUGGUCAC
rnacentral:rRNA from 1 species